CCCCUCUCAGGGUCACAGCUGGAGAGUUUCCAGUACUCUACCAGUCUCGGCUAUGGGAGGGAGAAUCAAGCAGAGGCCUACUCAUUCCAUUCUUAGCUUGAACAGUGGCUAACAAGUGGAAGGUAAUCUGCUACAAGU
rnacentral:snoRNA from 1 species